UACGUAGGGACCGAGCGUUGUCCGGAAUCAUUGGGCGUAAAGAGCGUGUAGGCGGCCACUUAAGUCCUGCGUGAAAUCUUGCGGCUCAACCGCAAGCGGUCGUGGGAAACUGGGUGGCUAGAGUGCGGGAGAGGAGAGUGGAAUUCCUGGUGUAGCGGUGGAAUGCGCAGAUAUCAGGAAGAACACCCGUGGCGAAGGCGGGUCUCUGGGCCGAUACUGACGCUGAGGAGCGAAAGCGUGGGGAGCGAACAGG
rnacentral:rRNA from 1 species